GAAACCCAGUUGUCCUAAUCAUAUUAUCAUGUCUUCGUUCUUUGCUCCCUCACGACUGAUGAUGAGGAAUGGGGCUUCAUUUGCAUUGUGAUUAUAUUCAACAUGCUUAGGUACUUUAGAACAACGUUUGAGAAUGAAGUUGAGCUCGUUUUGGAUUCUGUUUGCAAAAUAUACUAGAAUUUUCAGGCAACUGUUAAUUGCAUUUUCGAGUGUCGAUCCAAAAGAUGGAUGAAAUUGGAAUCUUGCAAAAAUUCUGAGCUUCUCUUGUGUAUUAUUGUUCAGCGAUUUACACUUCUACGGUUACCCUUUCGAUUUUCUAUUCUUGUUUUUAUUGAAUUUUCCAUGUGUGUUCGAUUUUUUUGCUGGUGUUUAACGUUAACAAAUUUUAACUCGAAUUCUUUCGAUUUUCUUUGUUUUUUGUUCAAAAAUCCCAUGUGUGCUCGAUUUUGUCGUUGCGUUUAAGGUUAAGCAAAUUUGUUUGAGAUAUUUUGUUUUUCUUCAUUUUUUGUCUUCUCGUCUAUAUGUUUGUUCUAUUUCUUCUACUUUUAUUUCUAUUUGCUUGAUUACAUUUUUGCGUUUAGGUUUUACCAAUUUCGAGUGACAUUUUUUGUUACAUUCAGUUCUGGCCUCUUAUUUCUUGUGUGUUCUGCUUUGGUUACUUUUAAUUGGGCUCUAUUGUAGCUAAUUUUUUUACAAGGUCAGCAAAAAUUAGAAAUAGGAAACGACGUUGGUUUCUUUUUUGUAGUUUAAUAUGGUCUUUUCCUUGAUCUAUCUUCAUAACUAAAACUAUGUAUAUGAAGGUUUGCAUAUGCCUUCUUGCUAUUUGUAGUGGAAGUUUGCUGUCUUUCUCUGUAUUUUACUGAUCUUAACAUUCAUGGAGGCUUCAAUGUAGGGCUUUUUUGUUUACCAUUAUUUUGAGCUUUGAUGUGUGUCUAGGAUUUUACUUUGCCUAUAUUGUAUAUCAGGACUUUAAUAUCCAUUUGGGCCUGUCGAAUCUUACUUGCAUUCAUUUGUUUGGCUUGAAGUUUCACUAUUGAACAUCACUUAGAACUUUCUCGCUUACAAUUUAAAGUGGAAGCUGGUAAUUUGGUUGAUAGUAUGUGGCUUAACAUAUCUUGAUAGUCUUUGUCAAGCUAUAGAAAUUUGAAACUGGGUUAAGUAGAAAUUAUUGGAUAGUCUGAUAAAUCGAUGAAAUUUUAUUAGAGCAAUUUCAUUUUUCCAUUUAGGGUACUAAUAUGAUAUAAGUUCUUUAUUUAGAACUUCUGUAAGGCCUUUAUACACUUCUCUUUUGUUGUACGAAAUGAUGAUACUAAAAAUAAUGGAGAUUUUUUUGAAGUUCACUUUAUCAUUUAAAAUGUUAUUAUUAUAUUUUGUAUUUUCCUUUAUCGUUUUGCCAAGUAACCCUUCAUAAUAGAAAAAUUUUCAUUCUUCCUCUACCCUUACGCACGUUCAACACUUUUCUCAGUUUACCAUUUAACUAUUUUGCAGUUUAGGUAUUCCAAAGAAGAAGGGAUUCCCGUGGGAGAAUUUCAAAAUCGGAAUUUCACAUAACUUCUGAGGUGAUUGUCUUUCAUUUUAUAUACUCUUUUCGUCAAAUUUGUUACAAAGUUAUGUCUUUUACAGUUAGACUAUUUAUAUUGGAUAUAAACAUAUUUCCUUUGCAUCUCAUCUCUGGAGUGUCUAUUUUUUUUCUUUGUUUCUGUGUUUAUAAUUUUGUGUUUGAGUUAUUCUGAAAUGAAGAAGCCAAAAAAUCAAACACAUAUAAUGUAUUUGUGACCUUAAGUAUGUUGAUUUCAUAUUAUAUUUACUGCUAAUUACUUUGUCAUGUCGGUUCGAUUUGCAUUUCUCUUUGUUCAGAUUUGGUUUAUUUUUUCGACUUAAUAUCAACCCGUCUGAUGAAUUAUUAUCAGUCAUUUGUCAAAAUCAAUUUCCUUCACUCUGUUAAGAAUAAUUAAAUUGAGUAAAAUAAACUAGUUAGCCAAUGAGGUUUAAAAGUUUGUAUCAAGGAAAAUAUUCUCAAAUCUUUUUUGUGAAACUUAUAGAAAUAUACCUCCAUUCGUGUUGUCUACUCCAUUAAGGAAGUAGCUUGGAAUUACAAAAUGGUAAAAAGAAAAAGAAAUUAUGUUUUUAUGAUCAAAGUGCUAUGAUUGCUUUGUAGGUGCGUCUAUUUUAUACUAUUGAAUCUAUAACUUAUGAAAAGAUUUAGGUCAUUACAUGAACAUAUCUAUGGUGGGAUGUUGAAUUCAUCAAAGAUAUUUUCGAGAAGUAUUGAUCUAUAGUUGAUUUAACUAUUCUUGUUUAAAGAUCAUAAGGCAUUUGAGAGCAUAAGGGUUAAGUAAUACAUUUAGGUGCCUACCAAAUUCUAUUGGAUGACUAUUUUUCAUAUGGAGGUUAGAUUGUGCAUAUGAAUAUGCAAUUAUCAUCUUAAUAUUUUAUGGGUCCAUGUUUUACCCUUCAAAAGGAAAAUAUUGUUGUAUUUUUUCUGAGGAAUUGAUGAAUUUUUUAUUUAUUUAUUUUUUUGUUUUAUAUGAUUGAAACAUCUAGGAUCCUGAAACAAAAAAAAAGCCUCGAGUGAAGAUUUACGUUGACAAAGAAAUUGGAAGGAAAAAGGGAGAUGCACUUGUAACAUAUCUGAAGGUAAUGCUUUUUGCUCAAAGUGCUUGGAGUAACAUGUAUCGUUGGAAUGUUUUCAUCUUUGAUUGUUUUGUCUUCAAUGAUGUUAUUGUGGAUUGAGGUCAUUGUUGUUGUGUUAUUAUUGUUGUUAUUAUUAAUAUUAUUGUUAUUUUACUAGGCAUUAGGAACCUUCAGUGGACCUGUCCAUCCAAAUAACGGAUGGAGCUCCUCUAAGGCCUGGUGGCUAGAUCCCAAUGUCAGUUACAAAAGCUAAGUUUGCGCAAAAAGGUAACGUGUGGAAUGCAUUGUUCAUUUUCUGCAUUUGUUUCUGGAUAUUAAUUCCAUUGCCUAUGUUCAUUUCGUUGUACGAAUUGAAUAUUUUAAAAUUUAACUUCUCUUUUGGUGUUAAUUAACCUCCAGGGGAUAAAUUCAUGUAAAACAAGUGGACAAGAAUAAGAAGAAACUUUAGAAGAUUGAAAGGAAAAUGUUACGUUGGGUGAGUCCUUUUCUCACAAAAGAUUAAAUUUUUAUUAUGUAGGGUUUGAUCCCCAAUAUGAAAAUAUAGGUAUGUUGAUUUGAGUUUUAAGUGUUCAUUCUAUUUUUGAUUUCAUUAAUACAAUUUUCUAAAAGGUCAAGUUAAAUUGGAUUCUUUUUUGUUUUAUUUUUUGUCCAUACAUUGUAAAAAAAGGUGAAACAAAACCCUUGGUAAAUUCAAUCGACGAUUAUAGCUGUGUCUUCAUCCUAUUGCGAUUUUGCGGCGGCUUUUUGUAUAUGUUGCUGUGAUUUGCUCAUUUGCAGUAGCCUUUGUACAUCUUGCUGCAAAUUCUGAUGGUUAUAUCUUUAAAUUGUGAAGUAUGUCUAUUUAGAAUUUUCCUCCAGUCUAUAAUUUUUUUUCAAAAAAUUUUAGUACAAAUAAAUUCAGAAGGCUGAGAUAUAAUCCUAAAACCUUCAUUCUUGAGUAUCUUUCUUCCACUAUCUUCAACCUUAUUGCUUUUCUAUUUGAUUUAUUUAGUGGGAAUUUUGAGAGAUCCUUUUUGUUUUCUUUCAACCUUAUUGCUUCGUUUCAGACGCUUCUCAAGUAUUGUCAAGCAGAAAUUUUGACGAUUGGGAUUACUGUUCCUGGGUCAAGUUUCUUGCGAUUUAGGUUCUCGGGUGGUGGAAUUUAAUAUUGUUGGUGAGGUCAUUCUUCUUCUUCUACUAGAAUUUAUAGAUUUCUAUUCUAUGGGUUUCAAAUUAGAAGGUUUUUUUUGUUUGGGUAAAAAUGAGGGUGUUUUGGUGACAGAUUUUUAAGAUUAUUCCUAUUCAUGUUAGCAUUCGUAUAAGUCACCGUUUGUUUCCGGUACAAAGUUUAUGGCCCUGCAGAAAUAAAAGGUAGCGAUAUUGAUUGGAUGGAGUUAACUUUGCAAUAAAAAAAUCCAAGCAAAUAGAAUUUGGCCAAUUUGGAAAACCAGCAUCCAUUUAAUCAUCACUUACGUAAAAAAAGUUCGGCACUUAAUAAAACAUUUUACAAUAAUUUUUGCUCUAAAAGAUGUAUCAAAUAAAUGAUUUUAUAUGUAACAAGCUACCAAGAAAUGUCACUGUAAACAUAAACAUAGAUUAAUUGUAAAGAUUUCAUCAACUUAGUUGAAUGAGCAUGUAUUGAGAAGACAGGAGAAGACAGAAGAAGAAAUCUAGGAAAUAGAUGUCAUGAUCCUUAUGCAAGCAUGCUUGUAUUCAAGCUAGAAAAAGCCAUCGAAUAUAUUAAAAAAAAAACAAAAACUUAGGGCUUGUUUGAGCCCCAUUGUUUUCAAAAAUGCAUUUUGAAAUAGUAUUAUGAUAGAAAGUGUGUGGUUAAAAAAUAAGAAAAAGAUUUAGAUUUUCAUGUAAUAUUAUUAAAAAAUAUGUGGUUGAUAUAGAGUCAAAUAACUAUUGAAGAAUGUAUUUUGAUAGAAAAAUGGGGAUUAAACACAAGCUUACUUUAUUAUUUUAAAAUAAGCAUGCAGGAUACAAAUGCGCAUUAUGUUGAUAGACGGCAUGUUCAAUAGGAUUUUGAACUCAAUCCUAUACCAGGAAACUAAGAAUUUGUAAUGUGCUACAGAUUGCGGAAUUUUAGGAUAAUGAAAGAUGGAUUGAUAAAUUGUUUUCGCUGGCUAUAUGUUGGCUAGAUUUCCUUUUACACGCAUAUAAAGUGUCACCUCCAAAUCCACAUAUGCAGAAUCCUCCCUACUUAAUCUGUGCAUAUACACUUUGUUACUUAGACUUGGCCGGAAGUGUCGGAUAAAAUCAAUUGUUGAACAUGGGUACUCUUUUUCUUCUUUGGGUUUUCAAAAUCAUUCUGUAAAUUAUUCAUGAUCUCUCUUUCUUAGUUUCAAGCUAGCUUGAUGAUGAUGAAUGAAAGUACCCGAUGAUUGGAAGUCGGUAAGAAAUUCCUCUUUCAUACCUUCAAAUAGGCAUGUUUUUAUUUGGAUACAUUGAUAUAUUUUCAUAUAGACAAACACAUAAAGCACAAAGGGAAUAUAAAGAACAAAGAGAAAUUCUACCCACAACUAAAGGAAACUUUUGCACAAACAUCUAGAUACAUGAACGAUAUGGUUCUCUGACAUUUGUGUACGUUGGCAUAAAUAUGAAUGUCAUCAAGGCAAUUACUCAAAUAUUUAUGUGCUAAUUAUCAUUAGUGCAUUUGUUCAUAUUCUGUUAAUAUUUGAUUGCACUGGCAUUGAGGAUUUGUUUCUCAAUUAAGUUAAUCAGAAUGAGGAUAUAUAAUACCUUGUUCUUAAUCAUGAUGCCGCCUAAAUUUUUAACCGGAAAUGGUGAGAGUUAGUGUCUUCAAUAACGCUCUUAAGAGCAUGUACAAUGCAGAGAAGCUAGGGAAGUGUCAGGUCAUGAUUCAACCAUCCUCCAAAGUCAUUAUUAAGUUUCUCUUCAUGAUGCAAAAGCAUGGUAUACAAAACAUUGUGUGGUGUUAAUUUGUUGUCUAUUUACGCAUGCAAUAUUCUAUCUAUACACUUAAUUCUUUAUCAUGUCUGUAGGAUACAUUGGAGAGUUUAAGUACAUCAAUGAUCACUGAUCUGGUAAAAUUGUGGUUGAACAAAUGUAGAGUCAUCAGCCCUGACUUUGACGUUGCUAUCCAGGAAAUUGAGGAAUGGAAUGCAAGGUUGCUUCCCUUCUGGCAGGUAAUAUAUAAAAAAACAUUGUACAUUAACAUUUGGAUGAUGAUCACUUGGUGAAUAUUGAGCUAUCAACCUGGCCAUAUGAUAAUAUAUAUGUUUUGCACAUGCACCUUUUAUUUCAUGGAAUAGUAUUAUCAAGGAGACUCUAUCUCUUAUUCAAACUUUUAUUAAGGUAUCUUCAAUUAGCAUGUCAAUCGGAUAUCUCCAUUCUUAAAUAGCUUCACAUCUUCCUAUCGUAAAAUGUGAUUAUUAUGUUUGGUUGUACCCUCAUUUCAUUCGUCUUUUCCCCAGUAGGUCGAGCAAAUUGUACUUUGUAUAGUAAUUAGACUUCAAAAAAAAUAUUAUCCUGCCUCAUCAGAUGUACAAUGGUAUGCUGCCAAUCCCAAGAGAAUGCUAAUUGCUGAAGUCCACAAAAUUAAAUUUCAUUUUUCUUACUUUCCUUCCUUCAAUAAAUAUCUUCUUUCAAUUGUUUUAAGCUCAUUUUACUUUUCAGUUUUGGAUACAUUUGUUGGCAUCAUGGAGCAUGAAGAGGCUAGGAGAAAGAAGGUUGAGGGGGAAAGUGUGCAAUCCCUGUGCAAACUAGUUUCUGAUGUAAUGUAAGUGAUCCCUACUUGAAUCAACAUAGUACUUAAAAGAAUUGAGGAAGUGUGUUCCAUGCACUGGUUGCUUGGAGCUUAAUCUUGAUUCUUUAAAUGCUAACUCUUCGUUUCUCGUUCCAUGCACUGGUUGCUUGGAGCUUAAUCUUGAUUCUUUAAAUGCUAACUCUUCGUUUCUCGUCUAAGCAUUUUAUCAAAUAGCUUGUGCGGGAUGAAGAAAUUAAUUUGACAAAGUGGCACUUAGAUGAUUGCUUUUAUUACCUUGACAAUUUUUCCAAGAUUACAACUUUUGUUGCAAGUCUUCAAGGUUAUUAAGUUCCAUUUGCCAUGUAAUAAAAACUAGGUUGUGUCGAAAUUAUUUCCUACUUAUAUGAUGUUUCACAAAAAAGUUGAGUAUCGAAUAAUUCUUAACUUUGUAGAAACGAGUACAUAAAAAAUGUUAUUUAAGAAGUCCCCUAAAAAAAAGGUGAAAAAAAAUCUAUUUCUAGAAACACUAAAAUUACCUUCGAAAUGACAAAGCUCGUGCAUGGCACGGGCAAUAAACUAGUAUAAAUAGAAGGGUGCAUGAUAUAGAAGAAGUUACUUAUUUUAAUGGUAGUCACUGUACAUAGUUUUUUUGAUAGCUUACAGCAUUUACAUAUUUCCAGAAUUCAAAAGAUAGCAAAAUAAUUAAACCAACUCUUUCAUCUGAAAACAAUAAGUUUUCUGGUUUCUUAACUAAAGACUCAAUAUUAAGUUACUACAGUACGACGAAUUUCGUGUAUUAAAAUACAAAAAUUGUUACAAAUUGUAUUUUGAUAAAAUACAAGUGAUUUGACCUUCAUGUAAUUGCAAAAUUGUAAAAAUCUUCUGAUAAAUGAUCUGAAUAUUUGAAGACGAGGGGUCACGUGGCUUGAAACCUAGUCUUCGAUAAUUUUUUGAAAAUUUGAUUUUUUGAGACUUGACCUAUUCAGCACUUAGAUUGCUUGGACUUGAACUUGGAUUUGAUUUGAUGUAAAGAAAACUUUGAUCUUCUUGAAUUUGGUGUGAACCUGUUUUGUUCAAAGAAGAUUUUGAUUUUCUUAGGGUUCAAAAGAUUUGGGUUUGAGAGGAUUUAUUCUCUUCCUUCGACGUUGAAAUUUUUUCAGUACUUCGUAAUUGUCUUCUAUGCUUUCACUUCUUCUUGAUUUUCUUCUCCCUCCUCCCCUUAUGGAUAAUUGGUCCUAUUUAUAGGGGAAUUUCCGUGCUAAUUUUGGUAAUACUAAAUUAUAUUUAAUUAAAAUGAAUAAUUGAGUAAUUUAUUAUUUUAUUUAUUUAUUUAAAAUGUGAUAUCGGCUUUUCGGUUUUAUGGACUAUAGUAGGCUUCAAUUUAAUUGGCAAAUGAUUUAAAUUGAUCCAAUCCAUUUUUUAAAAAUUUUUUUAUAUCAACAAAUGUCCCCUCAAGAUUUAUUUAUUUAUUAUGAAAUAAAUAAAUAAAUCAUAAUAAAUAAAUAAAUCUUGAUUUUCGAUUUUUUUUUCGCCUAUUUAUUUGAGUGAAUUAUGAGAUUUGAAAACAGGUUUGUUAAAUCUAGCAAACAGAGGUAAAUAAAUGUUUUUCCUUCCCCUCCCCCCUCCCUCUUGUUUGUAUUUUUUUUAUCCUUCUCUUGGUUUCAUCGUUGACCCUUUAUUAUUUUUUUAAUAUUUCUCGAUUUCUGCAGCCAGCGGAAAAAAAAUGGCGGCGGAAACCAUUGAUUUGGAAUUGGUUUAGGAAUUGGAAUUAUUAUCUCCUUUGUAUAUUUUUAUUUUUAAAUUUUUUUUAAUUAUUAAUUAGCUUUCUUGGUUUCUGUAAAACCAAACAAUUGUGGGCAGAAACCAAAAAACCAUGGUUUCUACCAAAUUUUUUUUCUUCUUUUUCCCCUUUAUUUAUUUUUUCAAUUUCUUUCUUUUUAUUUCUUUUUAGUUCUUUUCUUCUUCAUUUUUUUUUAUAGAAUGUCUUUUUAUUUUGGGUUGAAUUUUGAUUUUUGUUUUAUUUUUUCUUAGUGUGGGUAUUUUAUUGAAGUCGAAACUAACAUUCUUCAUUUUUUUUUUCAAGAACUCAACUUUUGAAGUAAGCCGAGAAUUUUGAGGUUUGAGGGUUUUGUGUGUGUGUGUGGAAAUUAAAUUUUUGUGCUGCAACUACUUUAGAAGUUGGAAAAUAUAUGCUUAUGAACAAACUUAAAAUUACAAACCUUUUCAUAUGAAUUGAGGACCAAGGACUCUCACUUUUCACCAUCUAAUGCACUUUUUGUUUAGGACUAAGAAUCUGUUCCUUCGACUGUCCAAGACAUUUUGUGUUGAGGAACAAAGACUUGUUCGUUCGAUCAUCCAAUGCGCUUUAUGUUGAGGAUCAAGGAUUGGCUCCUUCGAUUGUCCAUGGCGUUGAGGACCAAGAACCAGCUUCUUCGACCAUUCAAGACAUUUUGUGUUGAGUACUAAGGACUUGCUUCUUCAACCGUCCGAGGGACUUUGUGUUGAGGACCGUCCAAGGCACUUUGUAUUUAGGACCAAGGGCUGGCUCCUUCGACUGUCCAAGGCACUUUGUGUUUGGGACAUUUACAUAUUUGGAAGGCUCGUAAUUUUAGAUGAUAAUGAAUUUAAGAGAUUUACUACCCCUUUUUAUUUGCUUUCUUUUUUCUUUUGCAUGAUAGGAAUAAGUUCCAAUGAUAAAGUAUACUCUAACAUACACGAAAUUAUUGAGCUUAAAAAUUAAGGCAAAAGUUAUUUGCGUUUCAAAGAUACCAAUUUGAAGUACCAUGCCUAGACUUGCCAACGAAUGAUCCUUCUCCUGACCUCCUGAGCCAUUGUUGGAGUUGUAUAUGCCUACCAUUAGUGAAUGUCACGAAAGUUUGGAUAUUGGCAAGUGCAACCACUUCCGCAGAGCAUGGAGUGCAUCCCAAAGGCUGAANUUGGUUGUACCCUCAUUUCAUUCGUCUUUUCCCCAAUAGGCCAAGCAAAUUAUACUUUGUGUAAUAAUUAGACUUCAAAAAAUAUUAUCCUGCCUCAUUAGAUGUACAAUGGUAUGUUGCCAAUCCCAAGAGAAUGCUAACUGCUGAAGUCCACAAAAUUAAAUUUCAUUUUUCUUACUUUCCUUCCUUCAAUACAUAUCUUUUUUCAAUUGUUUUAAGCUCAUUUUACUUUUCAGUUUUUGAUACAUUGUGCUGAUUACAUCUGCUGGCAUCAUUGACCAUGAAGAGGCUAGGAGAAAGAAUGUUGGGGGAAAAAAAGUGCGCAAUCCCUGCGCACAUUAGUUUAUGAUGUAAUGUAAGUGAUCCUUACUUGAAUCAACAUAGAACUUAGAAUUGAGGAAGGGUGUUCCAUGCACUGGUUGCUUGGAGCUAAAUCUUGAUUCUUUAAAUACUAACUCUUCGUUUCUUGUCUAAGCAUUUUAUCAAAGAGCUUGUGCAGGAUAAAGAAAUUAAUUUGACAAAGUCACUUUGGCGAUUGCUUUUAUUACCUUGAUGAUUUUUGUUAUCCAAGAUUACAACUUCUGUUGCAAGUCUUCAAG
rnacentral:lncRNA from 1 species